rnacentral:tRNA from 1 species
UCCGGAAUGGUGUAACGGUUAACAUUUGUCGCUUUCAUUCGAAAGCGCCGACAGGCUCGGGGUUCGAUUCCCCGUUUCGGAA